CCUACGGGAGGCAGCAGUGAGGAAUAUUGGGCAAUGGGCGGAAGCCUGAACCAGCCAAGUAGCGUGCGGGAUGAAGGCCCUACGGGUCGUAAACCGCUGUUGCACGGGGAUAACAACCUCCACUUGUGGAGGUCUGCAGGUACCGUGCGAAUAAGGGCCGGCUAAUUCCGUGCCAGCAGCCGCGGAAAUACGGAAGGCCCGAGCGUUAUCCGGAUUAAUUGGGCGGAAGGGGAGCGUGGGGGGGCGUUCAAGUCAGCUGUAAAAUAGCGCGGCGAAACCGCGCCCCGCAGUUGAAACUGGACGCCUUGAGUGCACAACAGGCAGGCGGAAUUCGUGGUGGAGCGGUGAAAUGCAUAGAUAUCACGAGGAACCCCGAUUGCGAAGGCGGCCUGCCGGGGUGCGCCUGACGCUGAGGCUCGAAGGUGCGGGUAUCAAACAGGAUUAGAUACCCUAGUAGUC
rnacentral:rRNA from 1 species